AAACAAAAUUAUAUGUCUUUAUUUUUUGCGCAUUCAAACCUUUGAAUCCUUUCAACAAGAUUAAAUUCACAUUAUAUUUUCUUUUUCCAAAUUGUCAUUGUAAAGGUUUCAACAGUUUAAUGUUUUUAUUCAAUAUGCCAUUAUAAAUGGUCUUUUUUCUUUUUUUUAAAGAAGAUCAUUGUAAAGGUUUCAACAGUUUAAUGUUUCUGUUAAUUACAUUACAGAAAGUUGGAUUGUUUUUGUUAGGUAUGUGUUUUCACAUGAUUAAUUGUAUAAUUAUGUAAUCAGAGUGAAGUUGCGGACAUUAUUGAAUAUCUUGAUGAAUGAUGAUAAAAUGAUUAAAAAAAAGUAAAUAUAUUAAAUAGAGAUUUUCCAUAAUAUUACUUUAUUUCAGAAUUUUUAAUUUUACGCAAUAAAAAGGUAUCUAUUUUAUAUAAAUACUAGUAUUGUACCUGUACUGCGUACAGGAAAAGAAAAUGAUUAUUUAUUAUGUUAAAGUAGUGUGUGUUGCAGCAAAAUGUAUUGCCAGUUAAUUCAUGCUAAUAUAGCAAUAUUUGUAGACAACAAGAGUCACAUUCUCUUAUCUUUUAGACGGACAAAGUGAUUAAUUGUUUUCUUCUCAGUUUUAUUUUUAUUUUAUUUCAUUUUACUUGGUAGCAAGGUUUGUGUUAGCUUUUAUUAUGUUUUUUUUUACAACAGAGUUUAGUUACCGUGAUCAUUAUGCUAAAAUGUACAUAAAAUAUCUCAUAUUUUGUAAGCAUUACUAAAUCUGGAAUAAAUUCACAGUCGCGACUGUGACCGAUGUGUAAAUCAAAUUACACUCUAUUUUAAACAAAAAGAAGAACAAAGUUUAAUUUUUAACUCCACCAUAAAUCUACUUGUUUUAUGAAAUGGAACAUAUUUUCAUCUAACACUACAUACCUUUUGGUUCUUGUGCCAAAAAUUCACCAUUGAAUGGAAAAUCCAUUUGAAACUCUGUAAAUUUGAUUUAGUUUGCCCUGCAAAUAUUUUUGCAGAAUUCCAGUUUCAUCAUAGCACACUGAAGGAGAAAGAGAGGAGAUGUGUUUAGCAAGAUGCAAUUAUAAAAUAAAUAAAUAACUUCAUACAAAUAUAAGCAAUAGAAUAUGGGUAGUUAUUGAUGACAAAAAAAAAAAUAUAUGGGUAGUUAUUUUGGAGAUUGUUGGUGAAUAUUGAUCGUGGUUUGUAAAGAACCGUCGGUGAAGUGGGCAGAAAAAAUAUUUUUGAUUUUGGCCGAUAAACAUUAGUUUCUCACGUUUUUUUAAUUUUUUUUAAAAAUUUUUAUACUUUAAAUCUAUGUGGCAUAAUAUUAUUGGUCAAGUGACUUGUGUUUUAGUAUAUAAAGGAUGAUGCUCAGUUUGUUUUUUUCCAUGGUAGUGUUUAAAUUGAUAAUACACAUAUUAAUAAAUAUUCACAAAAUAAUUAACGUGGGCAAAACACCUGGUAGUUAAAUGUUUAAUUAGUUAUAUUGAAAUUUUGAUAAACAUAAACUUCAAGAUUUUGUUUAUAUACAUAUGAGAUUUUAUUUACAAACAAACCGUUUAAAUCACACUGUUGGAGAUUUACGAACGUUUCGUGAAUCAUGCUAGACAUUGCAUUUUAUUCCAUAAAAUAACUUGUUUUAAAUAUAUAAAAAGAAGAAUUGAGUUUUGAAAAAAA